rnacentral:lncRNA from 1 species
UGUGAUAGCAAGGUCCUGGACAUGAAGUUGGAGGUGUAGAUGGUGCCCUCAGUCCUCCUGAUGUGUAUUGCUGGUAACCAGAGGAAUCCCGCUGGAGCCUGUGGGAAACUGCAUUUGGAAAGUAAUGGCUCCUUUCUUUGCUUUUUCCUUUGGGCAGCAUCCAGUUUUAGAAAAAUCCAGUAGUCUCACCAACAACAGUCCUCUGCUCGAUGCAGCCAGGAGAUUCCUUACAGAGAGGUUCACAACACCAUCAACAGAACCUCUGCUGGCUCCCUCUGUUUCUGGACAAGAGAGUAAGGAAGAGCAAGCAGAGAAGGAAAACAUCAGAGCAAAGCCUGAAGGAAUGAAAUCAGGCACAAACGUGACACCAGAACCUCUGCUGGCUCCCUCUCUUUCCGGACAAGAGGGUAAAGAAGAGCAAGUGGACAAUGAACCCGUGGCUGUUGUUGGAGCCACAGAGCCUGAAGAAAUUAAAUCAGACACAACAGCAGCACCAGAACCUCUGCUGGCCCCCUCUGAUUCUGGACAGGAGGUUGAAGAGAAAGAAGUGGAGAAGGAACCUGUGGCUGUUGGAAAAGUAAAGCCUGAAGAGAUAAAACCAGUAAGUGCCAGCUUUGGUUAGCACUACCUUUGGUGUCAUUCAGAGCUGCAAGUUCCUGAGCAGACAGCGCUUGCUCUUUGGGACUGAAGAUUGUGAGGGCUCUAGCCCUGCCAUGACAUGGUGCUUCAGCCCAGCCACUGACACCUGGAAAAGAGGUUUUGAACUUCCAAGUUGAGUCAGAGUGUCCCUUGCAGGACACACAGCAAUAACUGUGCCCUAGAGGGUAGUUGCCCCUCUGCACGACCUAGUUGAGAAAAUGCAUGAAAAUUGAAGAGGAAACUGCCCAUGAACUCGUGUAAAUCCAGUCUUUUCUUCUCGUCCAUUCACUUUGUGAAGUGGGCAGCAAGAGACAGUUUAAGAGCCUGACUUGUGGCCAACAGCAUCUUCCCAAGGGUUUGCAUUUGAAAUAUGAUCUCAGGGCAGCUCUGCAAGCCACCUUUCUGACAGAAACUAAUUCUUGCCACAGAUCCUCAAGAGGCCUGGUGCUGCUGAAGAACCACAACCUAAAAAAGUCACCUUUCCCAACACUGAAAUGCCAAGCACAAGCACCGGGAAAGGAGACACUCGGAAGAAAAGCAUUCCGAAGAAAAGGAUUCCAAAGAAAAUCCCGCACCAGCCGCCAACGCUGUCCCCACUAACACAACUUUACCUUGAUGACCUCAGUACGUAUCAUGUAUUUCCUGGCUGGUACAGCAGUCCAUGGUAUGCAUGUCA